AUUGAACGCUGGCGGCAGGCCUAACACAUGCAAGUCGAACGAGUGGCGGACGGGUGAGUAAUGUCUGGGAAACUGCCCGAUGGAGGGGGAUAACUACUGGAAACGGUAGCUACUACCGCAUACCAUCGGAUGUGCCCAGAUGGGAUUAGCUAGUAGGUGGGGUAACGGCUCACCUAGGCGACGAUCCCUAGCUGGUCUGAGAGGAUGACCUGCCACACGGGAGCUGAGGCACGGUCCAGACCCCUAAGGGAGGCAGCAGUGGGGAAUAUGGCACAAUGGGCGCAAGCCUGAUGCAGCCAUGCGGCGUGUAUUAAGAAGGCCUUCGGGUUGUAAAGGACUUUCAGCUAGGAGGCGUUACUCGCAGAAGAAGCACCGGCUAACUCCGUGCCAGCAGCCGCGGUAAUUC
rnacentral:rRNA from 1 species